rnacentral:lncRNA from 1 species
CCCAUGCCUGUUCCAACCCGUUUCCACAGUAAUCUGCCUUUUUAAUUAUUAUUUUUAAAAAGUCAGCACAGAAAACUGCACUUAAUUAUGUAUUUUCUCUUAAAACACCCAAAUAGAUUUUAACACAUCUUUGAGCUGGGUUUUGGAAUAUUUGGAAAAUAGCAAAGCCAGUGGAUAGGUUAAGUUUCAGUCCAAUGCACUACUACAAGAAAGGUCACAGGCCACCUGGAAUGGACCAGGAUUUCCCCUGGCAUUCAAGUACUGUAUAUCCAUAAAUCCAUACAAGUGUAGACAUGGCUGGCCUGCCCAAGAGGCAAGGUAAGGCAACCUCCUUGGAUGGCAGGAUCCACAGGGGAAGCAGAUCUUGAUGUAGAUAUUUAUUCCCCACCUUGUUCCUGAUGUAGAUCUUUACUCACCCCUUAUUUCCUGGCAGGGAAGGAAUGCACAAUUUUGUGGUUUGCCUCAAGUACCAAAAAGUCUUGGGGUGGCCCUGAGUGUAGAGCUCUUUCCAAUUAGGGAUGAAUGAAUCAGUCAGUGCGUUGCAUCCUAGUUCUACACAGAGUAGACACAAUGAAAUUCAUGUGCGUAAGUGAGUCUACUAUGCCUGUGUCAAAGUUUGAACAAAAUCUAUUGUCGGUUUAAUAUGUUAAUUCAUAAGUUUAUUUGAUCUUGUUCAUUUAAUCCAUAGGCUGGGGGGGGGGAUCCAGUCUUCCAGGCCUCUCUUUAUGGACCUCAGGACUUUUCCUAGAUCACACCACUGUGUCCCCCAUGAUAUUCUUGCAUAGAAGCUUCUGGCAGUGAUCUUGAGUAAGGUGAUCCCACUCAGUGCCUCUGCAGAGAAACUGUAUGGCUGGUUCAGCCCUACAACUGAGAUCACCUGGAAGGCCUCAGCCAACACACCCCAUGCCAUCAUCCACCUCCAGGCAUGCUUCAGAUGGCUGUGGAAUUGACCCCACACAACUGCUGCCUGCUUCUGGUGGCUCCAGGUGGGGUCAAUGCCUUCCCCUCCCUUCCAUCACUUUGCAGUCAAGAAGUGUCAGGGACUGGGCAUAGGAGGAAUGGUGGAGACUUCUGACAGGUAUUCAUGCCUUACAGAAUUGAAGGCCUUGGCCUGGUCAAGGGAGAGGAUGUAUCUGGACCAUCAGCCCUGCUUCACAACCUCCAACAUCUCCCUAAAGGUGCACAAGAAGUCCAUCAUGUUUCUCCCUGGAAUUUGUUUGUCUGACCCCAAUGCAACACAUCACUGACCUUGUUCAUGCAUUGCAGAAACAAAUGAGCCUUCAGUUCUUGAUGUCAUAGAAGAGAAUCAUAGAAUGAUAGAAUUGUAGUGUUGAAAAGGUCCCCAAGGCUCAUCUACCCAAACCUCCUGCAAUGCAGGAAUCUCAGCUAAAGCAUCAAUGACAGAUGAUCACCCAACCGCUGCUUAAACACCUCCAAGGAAUGAGAGCCCACAAAUUCCCAUGGGGGACAGUUCCACUGUUGAACAGCUCCUACUGUCAGAAAGUUCUUCCUGAUGUUUAUUUGGAAUCUCCUUUCUUGUAAUGUGAAGCCACAUUUGAGCCUUACUCUCCACAGCAUGAGAACACAAGCUUUUUCCCUCCUCCAUUUGAUAGCCAUUGAUAUAUUCGAAGAUGGCUAUUAUAUCUCCUCUCAGUCUCCUCUUUUGCAGGCUAAACAUACCCAGCUAGAAAACAACUUUAAUGUUGUAUUUCAGCUGUGCCGAGACUGGUAUAAUUGGAGCUCCUUCUGCACUGGUAUCCUGUUCAAAAGCUAGAAUAUGCUCGUACUGCUCCUUGGCCUGGCUUUCUUUUACCAAAUCAAUCUUUUUCUGUAGAAUUAGAAUGUGUUUCAGUUUCAUGAUCUCCAUAGCAGCUAAGUGUUCUUAGGUCUGUGGCUGAGGAUAUGACUCAUCGCCAGUUAUUAACAGCCGAGCUGUGUCCAUGACAGCUGCUCCAUUUAACAUAGCAGCCAUCAAGAUAUCAUGGCCAGGACAAUCCACGAAAGAGACAUGCCUAACUAGUUUAAAAUUCCUUUUGGUCCCAGAAGUAUCUUUUGGGAAUUUGUCAGGUAUACUGCUCCCACAGGAUUGGUAACAUUCUGGCUGAGAACAACCUGGAUCAUGACGUUUGUAAAUCUUAGCUUUGGCAUAGCCCAGCUUGAUAGUGAUAUUUCUCUCCAGUUCAUUUUUGAAUCAACAGUAUGAACUUCAGAAAUAGAUUUUACUACUAUGGACUUUCCAUAAGCUACAUGGUCAAUUUUACCUAUAUUAAUUGUAGCUUGCCUGCUGAUGACUUCUGGUGACAGAGGUGUCAACUUAUUUACUUAAAAGGCACUCAGGGAGAGGUGUGGCUGCUCCAGAGUCACUCCUGCCUCAUCGCCUGCCAUCUUGAGGGAGUUGUCUUUGUCCUCAAGUCACUGUAGAAGAAAGGUGUGCAAAUGGGUCUCUUUGGGAGAAAACAGCCUCAGGCUGGAUGCAGGUUAAUGGAGUCUGUAUGAGGAGAGAAAGACCUUUUAUUUCAGGUCUGUUUGGUGUAAUUUUAUAUUACUAAGAAGCUGAACCUUUGCUUGGACAUGCACAUAAUUUUAUACUACUAUAGUAAUCUAUGCUAUUAUAGGUUCAUCUAACCACAAUGGACUCAGUUCAUUCCUUUGUUGUAUGUACCACAGCUAAAGAUGGUAGCAAAGACUCCACCUCGUAACUGCAAGACACCUCAUACCUUUGCCUGCCUCCUCUGCCAACAUGGCCUCCGGUGAAGGUGCCACCAUGGACUCUGCCGAAGCCACCACUCUUGGCACAAUCUCCUCCUCUGUGGCCUCCACCACCACCACCAAUGCAGCCUUUGCCAAAGCCACUACUGCAGGAACAAUUUCUGCUGAAGCUGCCAGUGUGGCAUCUGUUGAAGCUGCUGCUGUUGGUGCGUACUUCUGGAAGCCAGCUUCCAGAAGUGCCACAAUGGAAGGAGGAGAAAAGUGGUGACACACAGAGGCAAAUGUGGGUUUUGCUUCAAUUUGUGGUCCCAUCCCAUGCUCUUGUACGAGCCAACUGAUUUGCACCACAGUUUGGGACGAUAAAAUGCGCUUACUUUGGUCCCACACUCUGGUGCUGCCAGAGCCCAGGAGCCAAAAUGGGACAUUUGGGAUUGGAAUCAGAAACUGGAAUGGCUUCUGUCAAUCCAGGAUAUCCCGCUUAAAAUGGACAGUUGUGUCACAUAUCUUCCAGUGGUGGUUGAUGUCUGUUGGGAAUGGUAUGGCAGAAGGCAGGGAGGUCAACCAUAAGUGGAGCCAGAGCCAAUGACAGACAAAUCCAACUAAUCCUAGCUUUGUUCUCACCCUCCUUCCUGCAGAGUUUUACAAGGGCAACUGAGACAAAAUGCGAGGAACCUGACACAUGGUGCCUGUCCUGGCCCUUGUUGCCAGGCAAAGAACUUGAACUCCCAACUCAGCUUCUGCCAAAGGCUUUAAAACAUAAAUCAGAG